rnacentral:rRNA from 1 species
UACGGAGGGCGCAAGCGUUGUUCGGAAUCACUGGGCGUAAAGCGCGUGUAGGCGGUCGGCUAAGUCUGAUGUGGAAGCCCGGGGCUCACCCCCGGAAGGGCAUUGGAGACUGGCUGACUUGAGUGCCGGAGAGGAGGGUGGAAUUCCUGGUGUAGCGGUGAAAUGCGUAGAUAUCAGGGGGAGCACCGGUGGCGAAGGCGGCCCUCUGGACGGAUACUGACGCUGAGACGCGAAAGCGUGGGGAGCAAACAGG